AGGAUUUCGAGUAAGUUUGUGAAUUUACUGUACCUAGGUAAUUAUCUGCAAGUCGUGUAAUCAUGUCUUUAAACUACAGUGUAAUCUUUUUAUGUACACUUUUGACCGUUUUGAUUUGCACGUGCGCCGGCUCAAAUCGCAAACGUGCUGAUCCAGGGUUGUUUGGAGAUAUGCCGAAUGAUACGCCAAAUUACUAUCCAGAUCCACAUGAUGUUCAGGAGCUGAAUUCUAGAGAGAUUAUAGGUCCGGACGGAUAUGGCACCUGGACGCAGGACCCUCCCAAGAAAGGGGGACUUCCUCCUGUUGAUACUAACCCUUGGAAUUAAAAUACCUACGUAACACUUAAGAAGAUUGUAAUGAAAACUUUUUAUGCUGUACGAACGUAAAUAUCGUAAAAAGCAUCAAUUAUUAGAGUAUCUCUCACAUACUGGAAAUACAUAUAGAUAUUAUAAUA